GCGCUCUUAGUCUAACGGAAAGACGUUGGUCUCCAAAACCAAAAAUAUAGGUUCGAUUCCUAUAGAGCGUG
rnacentral:tRNA from 1 species